rnacentral:lncRNA from 10 species
UCUAGCUAUUUGAAAAUACACAAUAAAUAGUUGUUAAUUAUAGUCACUAUAUAGUGCUAUAGAACACUAUAACUAUUUUUAAAAAAGAGUUUUAGAAAAUAUUUAAAAUGACUUUUUUUUUUUUUUAAUAGAGUCUUGCUCUGUCGCGCAGGCUGGAGUGCAAUGGCACGAUCUCGGCUCACUGCAACCUCUACCUGUCAGGUUCAAGUGAUUCGCCUGCCUCAGCCUCCCGAGUAGCUGGGAUUACAGGCACCUGCCACCACGCCCCACUAAUUUUUGUAUUUUUAGUAGAGGAGGGGCUUCGCUAUGUUGGCCAGGCUGGUCUUGAAUGCCUGACCUCAGGUGAUCCACCCACCUCAGCCUCCCAAAGUGCUGGGAUUACAGGCGUAAGCCACUGUGCCCAGCCUAAAAUGACUUAUUUAAUUAAUUAUUUUUAGAGACAGGGUCUCACUCUGUCACCCAGGCUGAAAUGCAGUGGUGCGUCAUGGCUCACUGCAUCCUCAACCUCCCAGGCUCAAGCAAUCAUCCUACCUUAGUCUCCCAAGUGGUUGGGAGACUAAAAAAAAAAAAAAAAAAGGAAGGAGUGUAGCCUACUUGAGCCUCUGGGAGUACAGCCCAGCAGACACCUUGAUUUCAGACUCUGGCCUCCAGGAUGGUGAGAGAAGAAACGAUUGUCUUUUGUUCAUUUGUUUUUGAGAGAGGGUCACAGCUUACUGCCAUCUUGACCUCCCUGGGCUCAGGUGAUCCUCCCACCUCUGCCUCCCGAGUAGCUGGGAGUACAGGUGUGCACCACCACACCAGGUCAUUUUUGUAUUUUUUUGUAGAGAUGGAGUUUUGCCAUGUUGCCCGGGCUGGUCUUGAACUCCUGAGCUCAAGCAGUCCUCCCGUCUUGGCCUCACAAAGUGCUGGGAUUACAGGUGUCAGCCACCAUGCCCGGCCCAUUUCUAUUGUUUUAAGCCAUCAAGUUUGGGUGGCAUCAUUUGUCACAGCUGCCACAGGAUACUAACACACCCAGAGACAGAAGACGGGAGGACAUAACUGCAUUAACACUGAGCUAGGAUCUGCACGCCUCAGGACUCUGCUCCCAGGACUACGGACCUCUGCGCCGAGUCAGAAGAACAGUUUCAGGAACCCGCUUGGAUAGUAGGGAGUGGAAAUGACCCCAGGUGACUGCAGCGGGACUCCUGGAAGGCAGAUAUUGGGUGUGACCAACUGAAACAGGAGAGUGCUGACGCCACCCAGUUUUGGGAGCCCCUUCCUGCUAGGACGUAUCCUGAGUUGUGAAACCAACCCUGCUUCCACCCAUCCCUCCCCUCUGAGCUGUGGGUCCCGGGCCCGCGGGUCCUGCCCACCUCUCCCGGAAGACAGGUACCUCGUCCAAUGGGAAAUAUGGCACAGAGUCCUCAUCGCCCUGCUCUAUGGGCUUCCCUCCAAAUGCAACAUUGACAGUGCUGGUAUAGAUGAGCCUUGGAACCCGCCGGCGAACACAGACUGCAGCAGCAGGUGCACAUAGCAACAAAUAAACACACACACACAUGCAAAGACACAGACACACACGGGACACAAGUGAGCAUAGAGUCGGCUGAGGAGGUGUCAUGCAGAUCUCUACCAAGUUUUCAACACACAACUUGGACCCCCAGGACCCUCCCAGAAUCUACAGCUGUUCAGGAGGGAAGAGUCUCCUGCCCUUAACUUAGGGUGCAGGUCAAGUUCCUGCUCUGUGGGCCCCUGGGAGCCAGGUCUGCUCCUUAUUCUUUCUCAUUGUGGCUUGGACCCCUGGGCUACCUUGCCAGAGACAGGUCAGAAGAAGGUCUCACUGGAUGGAGACUUAGAAAAAGACACUCUAGAAUCAAAGACAUACGGGAUAAGGCAGGACAUGCCCAGGCAGCCCACACAUGGGUCUGCGAUUUUGGUGCUUUAGUAACUUUUUAUUUAUCUGUUUGUUUAUUUAUUUAUUUAUUUAUUUAUUGAGACGGAGUUUCACUCUUGUUGCCCAGGCUGGAGUGCAAUGGCGCGAUCUCGGCUCACCACAACUUCCCCCUCCCAGGUUCAAGCGAUUCUCCUGCCUCAGCCUCCCGAGUAGCUGGGAUUACAGGCAUGCGCCACCACGCCCCGCUAAUUUUGUAGUUUUAGUAGAGAUGGGAUCUCUUCGUGUUGGUCAGUCUAGCCCCGAACUCCCGACCUCAGGUGAUCCACCUGCCUCGGCCUCCCAAAGUGC